GGACGAACGCUGGCGGCGUGCUUAACACAUGCAAGUCGAGCGGUAAGGCCCUUCGGGGUACACGAGCGGCGAACGGGUGAGUAACACGUGGGUGAUCUGCCUCGCACUUCGGGAUAAGCCUGGGAAACUGGGUCUAAUACCGGAUAUGACUUCGGGUUGCAUGACCUGGGGUGGAAAGAUUUAUCGGUGCGAGAUGGGCCCGCGGCCUAUCAGCUUGUUGGUGGGGUAAUGGCCUACCAAGGCGACGACGGGUAGCCGGCCUGAGAGGGCGACCGGCCACACUGGGACUGAGACACGGCCCAGACUCCUACGGGAGGCAGCAGUGGGGAAUAUUGCACAAUGGGCGAAAGCCUGAUGCAGCGACGCCGCGUGAGGGAUGACGGCCUUCGGGUUGUAAACCUCUUUCGACAGGGACGAAGCGCAAGUGACGGUACCUGUAGAAGAAGCACCGGCCAACUACGU
rnacentral:rRNA from 2 species